AUUGAACGCUGGCGGCAAGCCUAACACAUGCAAGUCGAACGAGUGGCGGACGGGCGAGUAAUGUCUGGGAAACUGCCUGAUGGAGGGGGAUAACUACUGGAAACGGUAGCUAAUACCGCAUACCAUCGGAUGUGCCCAGAUGGGAUUAGCUAGUCGGUGGGGUAAAGCCUCACCUAGGCGACGAUCCCUAGCUGGUCUGAGAGGAUGACCGGCCACACUGGGACUGAGACACGGUCCAGACUCCUACGGGAGGCAGCAGUAGGGAAUAUUGCACAAUGGGCGCAAGCCUGAUGCAGCCAUGCCGCGUGUAUGAAGAAGGCCUUCGGGUUGUAAAGUUCUGUCGGCGGGGAGGCGUUACCCGCAGAAGAAGCACCGGCUAACUCCGUGCCAGCAGCCGCGGUAAUUC
rnacentral:rRNA from 1 species